rnacentral:rRNA from 1 species
CCUACGGGUGGCAGCAGUGAGGAAUAUUGGUCAAUGGACGAGAGUCUGAACCAGCCAAGUAGCGUGAAGGAUGACUGCCCUAUGGGUUGUAAACUUCUUUUAUAUGGGAAUAAAAUGUUCCACGUGUGGGAUUUUGUAUGUACCAUAUGAAUAAGGAUCGGCUAACUCCGUGCCAGCAGCCGCGGUAAUACGGAGGGUCCGAGCGUUAUCCGGAUUUAUUGGGGUUAAAGGGAGCGUAGGUGGAUUGUUAAGUCAGUUGUGAAAGUUUGCGGCUCAACCGUAAAAUUGCAGUUGAGACUGGCAGUCUUGAGUACAGUAGAGGUGGGCGGAAUUCGUGGUGUAGCGGUGGAAUGCUUAGAUAUCGCGAAGAACUCCGAUUGCGAAGGCAGCUCACUGGACUGCAACUGACACUGAGGCGCGAAAGUGUGGGUAUCAAACAGGAUUAGAUACCCGAGUAGUC